AAAUGUUUAUCAUAAUUAAGGACAUGUAUGUUUAUGAACUAUUAUGCCAGUGUAAAAUCUUCAUAAUUUGGUAAUAUCAAAAUACACAUGAAGGUGAUAGGUUGUAUGUGCAUUAAAAAUAUUAUCUAGAUAUUUAAAUGCUAAUAUUGCCCUGCACAGAAUCACACCAAUCUCAAAUAAAAUGGACUUUAAUUUUAAAAAAAAGCUGACCACCAUCAGAACAUCCUGAAUUACAAGUUGACAAGAUGGCUGCAGCAGAUAAUAGGGUACCGUACAUCACCAACAGUACAUGAUUGUCACUGAUAUCUCAUGUUGGUGACAGCGUGACAAUUUUCAUCAGAUUGUAACGCUGAUGUCUUGGUUCAAUGAGGGUAUUCUUGCCCCCAGGAAGUUGAGCAGUCAUCAAUGUUUAGAAAGGUUUCAUUCCUAAGACUCAAGACAGACAUUUUACUGGAAAUGCUUUACAAUCUCAGAGUGUCAUCAAAUUAAGUAUGAUUUCAAUGGAUGGAAACCCAACAAUUUUACACACAAUUACUUUGUGCAACAGGUGUGCGACAGGGAUUGAAGACGAACGAGGACUUUUUCACAUGACACUUGCUCAGCUUUACCACUUGAAAUCAGACCCCAAUCAUGAGAAAAGCACAUGGCAGGUGUGACUGGUUGACAGAAGAUGCUAACUCCUCCAUGGCACCUGAUCCCACCUAAAUAUAUAUAUUUAGAGGUCUGUUUAGCUCAGCUCCUAAUUUAUAUUGUUAUAAUGAAUUUUUUGGAUAGAUUACUGUUCUUUUUUAUCUUCAUUUUUCAAUUUUCCAUGAAAGGUUUUUUAAAACAGGAAUGGUGGUAAUAGAAAUUUAAUUAACAAUGCCAUAAGACAGUAAUAUGUAAAAACAGAAUCUGUGAUAUAUUCCUUUGUACUCAUUGGAUGUGGUACUGUUCUCUGACACAAUUUAUCCCAGAAAAUUAAUUACCUGUUUAGGUUUUAAAUUGUGGAGUUUUUUGGAGAACUUUGCCAGAAUGAAAAUGUAUUGUCCAAUAGGAAAAAUAGUGAAAUAGCUGAGAAAUAUUUUGUGCUUCAGGUGCAAUCAAAAUGAAUAAUGGAGAUUUGCUUCUGCUUUGCUUGGUACUAUCAAUCACAAAAUCUGCUGUGAACACAGACUAUAAUACUGCCUAGAAAGCUGCAUUAAAAAAAUUGUGUAAACAAAUAAAAAUCUUGAUUUUUAGGUGCAUCAUAUACCGUGCAUUUGCAGUUGUUUUUUUUUUUAAAUUAGGUUUUUAAAAAUCAUUGACUGGACAAUUUCAAAUUCUCUCGUAAACAGGCAACAGUACUACAGUAGUUAAAAACUAGAUUGCAAUUAAUUUAUUUUCCUACCCAUUUAAGCCAGUUUAUUUGACUUUAUGAUUAAUAAGUCAUAAAUUGUAAGACAGUGUCAAUCUACAAUUAAUCUCUUAAAACUGAUAAACUGUAUCUCCUUGUGUAAAUAAUGGUCCAGUGGCUGGAAAUAAGAUCAGAACCCCUUUUUUAUUGUAGUGAUUAUCAACUACAAUUAAGACUGCCACUUGUUCUCUAGUGAGGCCCUGCCAACUUUUUCAAUCCUAGGAAGAUAGUGUGGAGCCAUAGAAAAGAUAAACUGACCACCCCAGCUCUGAAAGAGGGGGAAAAAUUGUUACUGUUUACUCAUCACAAUUUAUCACUUUUGCGGAGUCUAAAUUCAGAAAUGCUGAAAGAUACUGUUUCUAAUAAUAAGACAGGAACGGGGAAUUUUACAUGUGUCAUAAAGCUUGAACUGAUUUUUCAUCUUGACCCAACACAUCGCAUCAUUUUUAAAAAUUCUUGAAGCGGAGUGACGAGAGAUUUCCAUGUCAGCAUGUUCCUGCAUAAAUAUUUCCAA